GAUGAACGCUGGCGGCGUGCCUAAUACAUGCAAGUCGAGCGAACAGACGAGGAGCUUGCCCCUCUGACGUUAGCGGCGGACGGGUGAGUAACACGUGGAUAACCUACCUAUAAGACUGGGAUAACUUCGGGAAACCGGAGCUAAUACCGGAUAAUAUAUUGAACCGCAUGGUUCAAUAGUGAAAGACGGUUUUGCUGUCACUUAUAGAUGGAUCCGCGCCGCAUUAGCUAGUUGGUAAGGUAACGGCUUACCAAGGCAACGAUGCGUAGCCGACCUGAGAGGGUGAUCGGCCACACGGGAACUGAGACACGGUCCAGACUCCUACGGGAGGCAGCAGUAGGGAAUCUUCCGCAAUGGGCGAAAGCCUGACGGAGCAACGCCGCGUGAGUGAUGAAGGUCUUCGGAUCGUAAAACUCUGUUAUUAGGGAAGAACAAAUGUGUAAGUAACUAUGCACGUCUUGACGGUACCUAAUCAGAAAGCCACGGCUAACUACGUG
rnacentral:rRNA from 1 species